rnacentral:rRNA from 1 species
UACGAAGGGGGCUAGCGUUGCUCGGAAUCACUGGGCGUAAAGCGCACGUGGGCGGCUUCUUAAGUCAGGGGUGAAAUCCUGGAGCUCAACUCCAGAACUGCCUUUGAUACUGAGAAGCUUGAGUCCGGGAGAGGUGAGUGGAACUGCGAGUGUAGAGGUGAAAUUCGUAGAUAUCAGGAGGAACACCGGUGGCGAAAGCGGCUUCCUGGCCCGACAUUGACGCUCAUGUACGAGAGCGUGGGGAGCAAACAGG